rnacentral:lncRNA from 1 species
AUUCCCAAGGCGGAAAAAGAGAGGCAGUGCGUGGAGGAAGCUCCUAGCCCCGGAGUUCGCGGUCCAGGGAUCUUCUGUCGGUACCAGACCGGUUGGCAGGUGGACACGUGAGAAACAUUUCAGGAGUGUCAGAGCCACAGUCUGAUCCCUUCAUCCUGGGCUUGAAGGGGUGGGGAGGAGGCUUUGGGUGAGUUUCUGGAGUUAAUCAGCACAAGCUCUGUGAGUGACUCCUGAAUCACACACAAUCCCCGGUGCCAACGAUGUACUAAGUGUUCACUGAGUCACUUCUCUGGUCCCUGAGGACUCACAAGCCAAGAGACUCCAAACCCAGUUGGCAAGUGGUAUAGCGGCAAAAGGGAGACCCGUGGAGUUACUCAACCUUCGCAGGAUGCAAGCCCCAAAGGCUGGCCCCGCAGCCUCCCAGCGUGUCCUUUUCCCCAUCCAUCCUGAAGUCCCCCUUCCUGUCUGCACAGGGCCCAGGUCCUGGGGAAACAGGUCUUGCUCUUGAAAGUGGAGUUCUUUCCCAUCCUGACUGGUCUGUCCCGGUGACCUUGAGCCAGGAGGAGGAGGACUCCUCCCUGAGCCCAAGCUUUCUCCUCUGUCGUUUAGGCAGAAUGAUCCCAAUGGACUCAAAUUUCAUCCCGAGCCUUCUCUGACUCAGUCUUUCUGGUUUUUCCCUCCCUUGUCCUCUUGCCCAGGGCUUUAUACACAGCAGCGCAGAACAGUGAGCAUAUGGGAUGGCGUUGGUGUCCCAUACGGGACCUAGCACUCUGGGAAUACAACAGCAGAUCAAAUCAGUUUGUG